rnacentral:rRNA from 1 species
GUGGGGAAUUUUGGACAAUGGGCGCAAGCCUGAUCCAGCAAUGCCGCGUGCAGGAAGAAGGCCUUCGGGUUGUAAACUGCUUUUGUACGGAACGAAAAGGCUCUGGCUAAUACCUGGAGCUCAUGACGGUACCGUAAGAAUAAGCACCGGCUAACUACGUGCCAGCAGCCGCGGUAAUACGUAGGGUGCGAGCGUUAAUCGGAAUUACUGGGCGUAAAGCGUGCGCAGGCGGUGCUGUAAGACAGGCGUGAAAUCCCCGGGCUCAACCUGGGAAUUGUGCUUGUGACUGCAGCGCUGGAGUGCGGCAGAGGGGGAUGGAAUUCCGCGUGUAGCAGUGAAAUGCGUAGAUAUGCGGAGGAACACCGAUGGCGAAGGCAAUCCCCUGGGCCUGCACUGACGCUCAUGCACGAAAGCGUGGGGAGCAAACAGGAUUAGAUACCCUGGUAGUCC